AGGGUCACGGUGCACAGAGCCUUGCACUCAGAAUAGACACUGCGCUGCAGCUUGCGCUGAAUGAAGCAUCACACCGGGCCCGGCAUCACCCGGGAGCACAGUGAGAGCCGAGCGGCACAAACGCUGCUUUGUCUGCUCCAGCACAGCUCUAGUGGACACCUGUAGCUGAUCCAGCUGAAAGCUGCGGGUGCUCCAGCGACCACAGCGACCACAGGACAGAGCUAUAAACACAUGCGAGUUAAGGUCCAGCUUUCCCUUUCUCUGUUCCCCCUCCUCCCCUUCUCUUUCAAAGGAAGACAACUGAGCUCAAGCAGCUCAGGAAAAAAAGAAGGACCCCCUGCCUGGAUCCUAAAGCUCCUACAUACACUUUAGGAUGCACCUGAAUUGGCAUUUACACUGUAUUGCGGCAAGACUCUUUAAACCUCUGCUGCUGCUUCAUGUGAUGCAUCCUCGUUGGUUACUUCCUGUAUGUGUUUAUCUUAUGAUGAAUGGGAGAGCUGACAUCAGUUUCAAUCUCUGCUAAGCCCUAGUGUUCCAUGACUACAGAAAAUCUGGCAUUCAUGCUCCCUGGACCAUACACAAAACAGUACCACAUAUAAAGCACUGGUAUACACACACUGGCUCAGUUUAGUUCAAAACCAUUAGCAAAAUAUCUCAGUGCUGGUCAGCUUCAUGCCUAAUCUGCACCUCCUAGCACAGAUGAAAUCAACUCUGCGUUGUGCCUACUGGACAAUUCAACAAAAAUACCAUUCUCAACCCACAUUUGAUCCUUAACAAUAGGGAAAAAGGACAUUAACACAGGAGCUCAGGUCGAAUAGUAAUGAUCAUGCAGCUUGAAGGAUAAGGUCUAGGUUAAUUCCACUGAACUUUGAGUACUUUGCCAAGACAUCUAAAAUCAGCAGCCAAGUUAUCCCAGGCUUCCACUAUAAUCAAAGGAAAGCUAUACUUACCUCCAGAAUGCUAUUUAGCUUAGCUGAUUUCCACCUGAAUGCGCCUGCCUCUCCCUACUGACUACUGGAAGGGCCCUCAGGCAGUAACGCAGUACUACAGUCAAAUAAUUAAAGUUUGGAACUGAGCAUGGGGUAACACAGCAUCUCUCCUAACUUUUAUAGGAACAUGAAACGCUGAGAAGAAAAAAAAUCAUGUAACCCUAUAUCUUGCAUUAAUGUCACGUAAGUAUAAUUUGAAAUAUAUUGCAAAGAACAUUCAGAAAACAAGAAGCAACAGUAGUCAAGAGAAAUCUUCUCUCCUGUAUGGGAGAUUUGUCUCUAAGGGGCAUGCUCUUGUUCUGCCACAAAGCAGUGCUGCUGAACAAAACCUGACAGCACCUCCCUCUCUGAGGAUCUUGGUCUUUACAGCUCAGAUAAACUCAAUCGAAAUAUAAACCCACCCAAAUGAAGCAAAACCACUCUCUGUGAUUACAAGGCACCCUGCCUCACCUCCACACUGCCUGCAGGUGUUACCUGCCAUGUAUGUGCAUGUUACACACCAAGGCUAAGGAAUGCCACCCCAGCGCAGUUGCUUGCUAUCCACCCUUUGUAAACCCACAGCAGCAAAAGCACAGGAAUAAACUGCCCUGGUUCAAGGGAGAUGGAGCCUUACAAUACAGCUCUAACCUAAAGCUGCCUCCCAGGACAGCAAGUACAGUUUUGUUAGGCAGCUCUGUGUGGUGAUCUGUGUGAAAUGAGCUCCAGAUCCCAGUGAUGGUUCUCCUACUGCACUGGUGUGCUGAUGGCCUGAUGCACUCUGAGGACAGACUUCCCUCAUCCUCCUGGGAAACAGAAUUAUUUAUUAGCAGGAAAACAGGCUGCAUGUGUGGUUUUGCUACCUGUGAAAGCGCUUGUUCUGUGAAGAGUGAAAACUUCACUCUCAAGUGUUGCAAAUAUCAUAAACAUUGCAAACAUUUUAAAGUAAAGCCACAGCUGCCUUUAUCACUAUCACUUUGGCACGUGUCACCCCUGAAGUGCUGAGCAAAAACACUCUCACAUGGAAAUGUACUAUUUUGUCCCAGAGGUAGUUAAUGAAGUUUUAUAAGUAAUGCUGCUGAAAUACCUGGCAAUUAUGCAAGUAAUCUCUGCUCAAGUAAGAUGCUGUAGGCUUCUCAGUUUACCCCUUUGAUUUCCAUCUUCCUCUAUAUGAACUACCACUCACAACUCACCAUUAAGCAAUUUGUUUUCAUACCAAUAUUAGAAAGGCAAAGGAAAAAAAAAGACGCUCAUGGAGAAAGGUUUUUUCCCUAAAAAUGAAGUUUACAGAAGCACAUCAACACAUAAUAAAAACACCUGAAUUAAGUUUAUACCUUGGAAGACAACCUUGCUGCAGCCCAUGUUGUAUGUAUAGGGCUUUUUGAAGCUAUUUGUUGUGAAACAAUUUCCUUUCUUUUAAACAGAGCACUUACCCCAGUGAAUAGAGACGGCAUUGCUUGCUUCUGAUUCGAUGGAUGAGGCUAAACCUCUCAUCAAGACAGAUUGACCAGGGCUUUUUUGCAGUUUUGGGGUACCCUUUCAAGCUGUUCAGGUUCGUGUGUUCACAAGAAAUCUGUUGAAACCAAUGUAUUUAUCAUUUUAAGAUAGGACUUUUAAUUUGUUUGUAAUUUGCCUUCUGGGGAAAAAGUGGAAAAAAGAAAAAUGUUCAUUGGUUUAAUUUAAAUCCUACUGUCAAUCUGAUACAUGGCUACAAAGAUGUGAUUAUUUUUUUCCUUGUUUGUCUGUUCUGCUUGGUGAAAUUUGAGGCUUACAUGAUUCCCCAGAGAGCAAUGCAGUUAGAAAAGCAGAUAAUUAAGCAUUAGUACUGUACCCAGAUUCAUUUUUCCAUGAGGAAAAGAUGUUUCAACAUUCACAUAUUUAAUUUUUUUUUCUUUCUAAACCUUGGAGUGAAUUCUGCAUCCUGAAUAAUGUUAAAAUCAAGAUUGUAAUUACAGAGUUGCAGUGUCUCUGCAAUGUGUACCUCACCCAGAGUGUUCUGGAUCUCAGCUCCAGAAGGGAUUUAAUCAUUACCCCAAUGCAUUCUCCAGCUACAAAGGGAUUUAAGCAAGUGCUUAACUGAACAGAGGAAUCAUAGCAUGUGUGUCUAUGCUGAGCUGGCUUAGACAUCUAGAGUUUAAAGCCAGGAUAAAAACCCUGCAAAAGAAGAGAUAGUGACCCUUCAGGGAGGAACACUGUAAGUCAAAGCCCUUGUACAGACCAAGAAAGCAAAGACUGAAAAUGCACUGGAUUCGCCAGAAACCUGGACAUGUCAAAACUCACUGAGGGGUGAAGUCAGCUUUGCCAGCAGCUGAGCAGCAGCCUGAGACAGCCAAACCCACAGUGACUGAGCCAGCAAAGCCGUGGCCCUGUAAGUGACACCCUAAGGAGGAGCCCCUGCCUGCAGCACCAGCUCUGCCUGUCCAUCCAGCAGCUCAGGACAGCAUUUCACCCCCAGGCCACAACAUUCCACCCCACCUUCUUCCUCCAGAGCCACUCUGGAAAAGGCAGGCACAGGGCUGGAGAGUGCUGCACCCUUUCCAGAACACAGGAGCCAGAGCACAGCAGUCGAUGGAAGCAAGUACAAUUCAUACAGCUGUCGCCAGAGCAGUGAUAAGGAGGCAAGGGGAAGCAGAAGGAAGCACCAAAGCUGUGGCUACUUCUGCCCAGGAAAGGCUGCACUGCUCUACACCAGCAUCAGCAUCCACAGUUUGUUCUUGAAGGGCUUUCCAAACCAUGCAGCCCAGCCACCAAAGUCAGGUGUUGCAGGGCACAGGUUGCUAACAUGCAGGUAAGAAAGCAAAGAUCGAGAAGAGCUGCAGGAACCCAGCUGAGCCAUCAUGAUAAAAAGUUGUUCUUUGGGCCCAGUGCCAGCCCUAGCUGCAGGAAUGGGAGCUGGCACUGUCAGAAAGGCAACAACUAAAAUGGUGCAAAGGACAGUAGUAGAGACUUCCUCUACAGCAGACUGCAGAGGUUCAGUUCUCAGUCUUAGCCAAACUAAAAAGCACAGCUCUGGUCUCACCUGGAACCACAAAAACGAAGCAGUUUUACACAGAGGUGAGAGUAAAAUCUGGAACUCAGCCUUUAAUGUGGUAGGCACUCUCCACCAUUUACCUUGUAAUAAGUAAAUAAAACACUCAUUCUUUAA